UACUUCUUGAUUAGAGGAGAAACAUGACAACCAAGUGCCGUGACAGAGAAAUAGACAUGGCGUGGUAUUGCGUCGGUUCAUCAAGUGUAACGUCUGUAUACAUUCUGCAAUCGUCUACAGAUGAGCCGAACCAAUAUCACUCUUAUCAUCCGACUGAUAUGUAAGUUUGCAACAAAAUAAUCCAGGUUUGCUACUGCCUGUACAAUGAGUUAGGUGUCUAUAUAGAAAUGGCACUAAGAAGAA